GCCAGCGUGGCACAAUCUGGUACUGCGCAAGCCUGGAAAGCUUGUUUCCGCAAGGAUAUCCCGGUUCAAAACAAAUGUCACGCCAUUUGAGAGGCGGAGCGACUGCACUCACUGCGUUCGCUUAGUCACUUAAAAAUAAAUCGUGACAAUUGCUGAAAGUCCGGGCGCUGGCG
rnacentral:tRNA from 1 species